AACGAACGCUGGCGGCAGGCCUAACACAUGCAAGUCGAACGAGAAGCCACCUUCGGGUGGUGGACAGUGGCGGACGGGUGAGUAACGCGUGGGAACGUGCCUUUCGGUUCGGAAUAACCCAGGGAAACUUGGGCUAAUACCGGAUACGCCCUUCGGGGGAAAGAUUCAUUGCCGAAAGAUCGGCCCGCGUCGGAUUAGCUAGUUGGUGGGGUAAUGGCUCACCAAGGCGACGAUCCGUAGCUGGUCUGAGAGGAUGACCAGCCACACUGGGACUGAGACACGGCCCAGACUCCUACGGGAGGCAGCAGUGGGGAAUAUUGGACAAUGGGCGAAAGCCUGAUCCAGCCAUGCCGCGUGGGUGAGGAAGGCCUUAGGGUUGUAAACCCCUUUCAGCGGGGAAGAUAAUGACGGUACCCGCAGAAGAAGUCCCGGCUAACUCCGUGCCAGCCGCCGCCGUAACAC
rnacentral:rRNA from 1 species